rnacentral:rRNA from 1 species
UACGUAGGGGGCAAGCGUUGUCCGGAUUCAUUGGGCGUAAAGAGCGUGUAGGCGGCCAGGUAGGUCGGUUGUGAAAACUGGAGGCUCAACCUUCAGAGGUCGACCGAAACCAUCUGGCUAGAGUCCGGGAGAGGAGAGUGGAAUUCCUGGUGUAGCGGUGAAAUGCGCAGAUAUCAGGAAGAACACCCGUGGCGAAAGCGGCUCUCUGGAACGGUACUGACACUGAGAGACGAAAGCUAGGGGAGCGAAUGGG